UUUUAAACACCCUUAGUAAAGAGGUGUCAUAAAAAAAAAUUAACAAUCCUCAAAAUUCAUUCUAAUUUUAUAAAUUUCCUUUAUUCUAUAACCUUUCAUGAUAUAAAGUGGAACUUAUGACAUGACCAAAACAUCAACAAAAAGUGGAACUUACUAAAGAGGUAAAAUUUUGUUAGAUUUAAUGUGAUUAUUAGGCUAUGACUACAACAUAAAUUAGUGUUAUCAUUGAUCUAAACAAUACUAUCAAUUAUUCAAUAUCUAUUAUUUGAAAUUACAUCACUUUUGAUCUUUGGUGGGGUUUAAUAUAUUAUGAGUAGAUGGCAUAAGAGAAGUCAUAAGGUCUUAAAUUUACAUGUUAACGACAUUUACAAACAAGCUCGUGGCAUUUCAUAUCAAGAGGAGGGAGACAAAAAAGGUCUGGACAAUCAGAGUCAUUCAUACAUCCAGAAAAUGCUGUUAAAUAAAAAAAAUAAAAGUAAAGAGAUGUUACUAAAAGAGAUGAAAUAUUAUGUAUAAAAUAAAUAAGAAAAAAUUAAAAGGGCUAGUAAAAUUGUUUACCGCUGGAGUUGGUUACAGAAAGAAAUAUGAAAAAGAAGACAAUCAUAACAUAAACAAUCUUUAUAAUUU
rnacentral:lncRNA from 1 species